UAGGGAAUAUUAGAAAUGGACGAAAGUCUGAUCUAGCAACACCGCGUGUGCGAAGAAGGCCUUCGGGUCGUAAAGCACUUUUUGGAAGGAAUAGGAAGGAAUGUACUUCCAGAAUAAGUCUCGGCUAACUACGUGCCAGCAGCCGCGGUAACACGUAGGAGGCAAACGUUAUCCGGAUUUACUGGGCGUAAAGCGCGUGUAGGUGGUUUGGUAAGUAGAGCGUGAAAGCUCCUGGCUCAACUGGGAGAGGUCGUUCUAAACUGCCGGACUAGAGGAUGGUAGAGGGAGGUGGAAUUCCGGGUGUAGCGGUGGAAUGCGCAGAUAUGCGGAGGAACACCAGUGGCGAAAGCGGCCUCCUGGCCCAUUUCUGACGCUCAGACACGAAAGCUAAGGUAGCAAACG
rnacentral:rRNA from 1 species